CAAGAUCAAAUUAUGUAAUAAGUUUGGGUCAUUAGAAGAUAUGGAUGUGUCUGAUAACAUCCAUCCUCGGGCACAUAGCUCGUCGCCUUCCAAGAAAGUGCGGGGUAGAUCCCCAAUCAACCCACCAAAAAGGCCAAAUUAUUGAAUU